CUAGUCCUUGUCAUGGGUGAGCGCGAUCACUCAAUGAGCGUAUAGCGAGAGUGGUUCUGCUAACACAUAUGAACACAAAACGCAUCGCUCUCUCAUCUCGGUGAGGGGGUUUGGGUGCAAUUUUUGGAAAA